CCUACGGGCGGCAGCAGUGGGGAAUAUUGCACAAUGGGGGAAACCCUGAUGCAGCAACGCCGCGUGAAGGAAGACGGUUUUCGGAUUGUAAACUUCUGUUCUUAGUGAAGAAUAAUGACGGUAGCUAAGGAGCAAGCCACGGCUAACUACGUGCCAGCAGCCGCGGUAAUACGUAGGUGGCAAGCGUUGUCCGGAAUUACUGGGCGUAAAGCGCUCGUAGGCGGUAUGUCAAGUCAAGGGUGAAAUCCCCGCGCUCAACGUGGGAACUGCCUUUGAAACUGGCAAACUGGAGUGUGUGAGAGGAUAGUGGAAUUCCAGGUGUAGGAGUGAAAUCCGUAGAUAUCUGGAGGAACAUCAGUGGCGAAGGCGACUAUCUGGCACAUAACUGACGCUGAGGAGCGAAAGCGUGGGUAGCAAACAGGAUUAGAUACCCCUGUAGUC
rnacentral:rRNA from 1 species